rnacentral:misc_RNA from 1 species
CUGCAGCCCGGCUUGAACGGAAAUCCUUUGUUGUUUUUUGCAAAAAGCAACAAAGAUUGGGAGUGGAAGACGGAAAUGCU